rnacentral:lncRNA from 1 species
UUUUAUACCCAGUACCCGGUAUCCUGAUGUCCUUUCUUUUCGGUUGAUUUAUCCUUUAUUAACCCAGUAACCGAUUGUGGAUAAUCUUCCAUGCGAGUAUGUUAUCUAUGUUCUGACGGUAAUAGAUAAUAUAUCUCAUGCGCUCUUUGGUCGAAGUCUUUUGUUCUUCCCCAGUCGAGUAAGAUUCGUAUUCCCCUUUUUGCGGAGUCGAAUGUCCAUCCUGUAAAUUGAGUUUGCUUUUUAGCCCUCCCUUCGGAUGAUAAGUGUCUUAGAAAU